ensembl:snoRNA
AGCAACCCUGUCAAAUUCAGUGCUUCCCUCCCCCUGGAUGUCACUGGCCAAAGUGGUUGCAACAGUAACAGUGUAGCUCAUGGGCCCCAUGGCGUUUCUGCAUGGCCACUGGGGAUAAGUAUGUGCUGCACACAAAU